rnacentral:rRNA from 1 species
UACGAAGGGAGCUAGCGUUGUUCGGAAUUACUGGGCGUAAAGGGCGCGUAGGCGGUUUAGCAAGUUGGAUGUGAAAGCCCUGGGCUUAACCCGGGAAUUGCAUUCAAGACUGCUUUACUUGAAUUCGGUAGAGGUUGGUGGAAUUCCCAGUGUAGAGGUGAAAUUCGUAGAGAUUGGGAAGAACACCCGUGGCGAAGGCGGCCAACUGGACCGACAUUGACGCUGAGGCGCGAAAGCGUGGGUAG